rnacentral:lncRNA from 1 species
GGGCGAAGAUCCCGCGCGCGGCCUGCGCGAGGACGUACGAGGUGAGGGACUCGCAGGGGGUGCUGUGGGUGUGGAUGUCGGAGAAGAACCCGCCGGACGCGGCGAAGCUCCCCUGGUUCGAGCACUACGCCCGCCCCGGCUUCCGCGACCUCUCCACCAUCCACGAGCUCCCCUACGACCACUCCAUCCUCCUCGAGAACCUCAUGGACCCCGCCCACGUGCCCAUCUCGCACGACCGCACCGACUGGACCGCCCGCCGGGAGGACGCCCAGCCCCUCGUCUUCUCCGUCUCCGAGCGCACCCCCCGCGGCUUCGCCGGCACCUGGCACCGCCACCGCUCGCCGGCGCUCGUCAACCGGCUCCGCUUCUCC